GUGUCAGCUUCAGCAGCACAGAUAUUAAAACUGGAAUGGUACAGAUGGGGUUAGCAUGGCCCCUGUGCAACAAUACUCAAAUUCCUGAAGUGUUCCAUAUUUGU